UACCAGCACCCCGAGCGGUCGGGACGAUUAUUGGGCCUAAAGCAUCCGUAGGCGGUUUUACAAGUCCUCCGUUAAAUCCAGCUGCUUAACAGAUGGGCUGCGGAGGAUACUAUAAGACUAGGAGGCAGGAGAGGCAAGCGGUACUCAGUGGGUAGGGGUAAAAUCCGUUGAUCCAUUGAAGACCACCAGUGGCGAAGGCGGCUUGCCAGAAUGCGCUCGACGGUGAGGGAUGAAAGCUGGGGGAGCAAACCGG
rnacentral:rRNA from 1 species